UCCUGCCUCAGCCUCCUGAGCCACUGGGAUUACAGGUGUGUGGCACAGCACAUGACUAAGGAAUGCACUAGUUUUAAAAUGUAAUUGCUUCAGUGUUUUACCUUCUCCUGAAUGAUUUGGAAGGGAGUAGAAUAAAAUGGGAGCCGGCAUUUAAAUCUAAACUAAGAGCAAAGCCAGGAAGUUGGUAGGUUUGAGAUGAAGGGAAGGCCCUGGACCAUAAGGUUCGGCUACAGCACAGGUAACAGUCAGGUAAAGGCAGCCUCUGCUGAAUUGUGUCUGGAAGCCUGGACACUGUCUUGGUGAGGUCCUGCUUGAGAAUGACUGUCAAGAAGCCAACCCCAGACUGGGCCCAGAGGGACAGCUGCAGCGCACAGACAAAACUAGAGGAAAAGUGAUCGAGCAAGCUCUGGAUUCCAUCAGGACCCGGCAAGUCAUUUGUAAACGUUUACUUUGGGGCUCACAGUUUCAGAAGUCUCAGUCCAUAGAAGGUCAACUCCAUUUCUGGAGGCUCGAGGCGAGGCAGAACAUCACGGUGGAAUAACAUUGCAGAGGAAAGCAGGUCAGGACAUAGCCACCAAGAAGCAGAGAGACGGAGAGACACACAGAACUCCACUUUUCAGCGACAAAAUAUAAACCCCAAAAGCAUGCUUUUAAGGACCCAUCUCCUCCAGCCACAUCUUGCCCACAGUUACCAAGUUAAUCCUUAUCUGGAGAUUAAUGCACUGAUUAGGUUAAGACUCACAUAACCCAAUUAUUUUACCUCUUAACUUUUUUGCAUUGUAUCAUAUGUAAACUUUUGGGGGGCCACCUAAUAUCUAAACCAUAAGAGUAGAUAUUAUAUUCAUCUGCUUGGGAUACACUUAGGUUCUUGGAUCUGUAGAUAUAUUUCACCAAUUUUGGAACAAUUUCAUUCUUUAUUUCUAAAAACAUUUCUUACCCAUUCUGUAUUAUCAUUUUGGGACACACAUUCUCUCUCUAUUAGACUGUCUGAUAACGUCUCACAAGUUUCAGAUAGUCUUACUCUUUAAUUAUCAUCAUCAUUAUUAUUAUUUACUUUAUGUGGUUUACUUUGUAUGUUAGGCAGCUCUUCAUAGCUGUGACCAAAAUACCUGACAAGAACAACGUAGAGGAGAAAAAUUUUAUUUUGGGCUCACAGUUUCAGAGAUCUUAGUCCAUGGUCAGCCAACUCCAUUGCUCUGGACCUGAGAGAAGACUGAAGAUCAGGGUGGAAGGACAUGGCAGAGGAAAGCUGCUAAGCCCUUGGCAGUCAGGAAGCAGAGCAAGUUCAAAAAGUUGGGGACAAAAUAUAUAAUCCCCAAGGCAUACCCAGUGACCCACUUCCUCCUGCCAUGCCUCACCUGCCUACUGUUAUCAUCCAGUAAUCCACUCAAAUUAUUAAUCCACCAGGUAGAUUAAUCUAUCAGGUGGAUUAAUACACUGAUUAGGCUAUAGCUUUCAUAAUCUAAUCAUUCCACCUCCUGCAUUAAUGUGUGAGCUUUUGUCGGGGAUGCCUCAUAUCCAAACCAUAACACUUUGUUGUAUUGAUUUAACUUUGAGUUUACUGAUCCUUUCUUCCUCUGUGCCCAGUUCUUAGUUAAUACCUUCAAUAAAUUGUUUAUUUCAGA